AACCGAUAGCUAAUACCCCCAUAAAAUUGAUUUAUUUGCAUGAUAAUUAAUUGAAAAGAUGCAAUUGCAUCACUACCAGAUGGACCUGCGUUGUAUUAGCUAGUUGGUGAGGUAACGGCUCACCAAGGCGACGAUACAUAGCCGACCUGAGAGGGUGAUCGGCCACACUGGGACUGAGACACGGCCCAGACUCCUACGGGAGGCAGCAGUAGGGAAUCUUCGGCAAUGGGGGGAACCCUGACCGAGCAACGCCGCGUGAGUGAAGAAGGUUUUCGGAUCGUAAAGCUCUGUUGUAAGAGAAGAACGGGUGUGAGAGUGGAA
rnacentral:rRNA from 1 species